rnacentral:antisense_RNA from 1 species
UUUUAUGGUGGCCGUGCGCAGGGCGCCCUUGUGGCGCGCCGGGUUCCUGGGGCACCGGUCUACUAACCUGCGUACGGCUGCCACCCAU